rnacentral:rRNA from 1 species
CCUACGGGUGGCAGCAGUGAGGAAUAUUGGUCAAUGGGCGGAAGCCUGAGCCAGCCAAGUCGCGUGCAGGAUGACGGCCCUACGGGUUGUAAACCGCUUUUAUACGGGAAUAACGCGCCUUACGUGUAGGGCUUUGCAUGGUCCGCAUGAAUAAGGCCCGGCUAAUUCCCUUCCAGCAGCCGCGGUAAUACGGAAGGUUCGGGCGUUAUCCGGAUUUAUUGGGUUUAAAGGGAGCGUAGGCCGCAUGUCAAGCGUGCGGUGAAAUGUCCGGGCUCAACCCGGGCCUUGCGGCGCGAGCUGGCGUGCUUGAGUCCGCGGAAAGCAUGCGGAAUUCGUGGUGUAGCGGUGAAAUGCUUAGAUAUGACGAAGAACCCCGAUUGCGAAGGCAGCUUGCUGCAGCGGAACUGACGCUGAUGCUCGAAAGCGCGGGUAUCGAACAGGAUUAGAUACCCCAGUAGUC